UACGUAGGGACCUAGCGUUGUCCGGAAUCAUUGGGCGUAAAGCGCGCGCAGGCGGCCCGGUAAGUCCGUUGUAAAAGUCGAAGGCUCAACCUUCGAAAGCCGAUGGAUACUGCCGGGCUAGAGUACGGAAGAGGCGAGUAGAAUUCCUGGUGUAGCGGUGGAAUGCGCAGAUAUCAGGAGGGAUACCCAUAGCGAAGGCAGCUCGCUGGGACGUUACUGACGCUGAGGCGCGAAAGCGUGGGGAGCGAACAGG
rnacentral:rRNA from 1 species